GCUUACUUCUUGAUAUAAGGAUGGAAAUACUUAGCCACUUGGGACACAUGCAACUGACUACUAUUACAAGGACUUUCACAAGAGGGAACACAAGCUUGCCAGUCACAGUAUGGCCUCUAGCCUAGAAGUUUUGCAUCUUUUCUGGAAUAUGAGAAGUUUCCUUCAGAGACUAUGGUAUUCAUCUCAGCCAAUUUAGCCAACUUUAAUGUAUUCAUCUAAGCCAACCACAGGGAGGCAGGAGAAGAAGGGAAUCUAGGACCUUUAAUCCAUGAGACUUGCAACAGAACAUCCCAGGUAAGUACUAAGGGGCCAACUGAGCAUCAGAACAGGGGGGCAUGAAAGGCACCAUUUACAGGGCUCAAGUGCCUCUAUACUAAUGCUAGGAGCAUGGGGAACAAGCAGGAAGAACUAGCACUCCUGCUUGCCAACAAUAACUAAGGUUUAGUGGGGCUAACAGAAACCUAGUGGGACCCUACCCAUGACCGGGCAGUACGGAUUGAGGGCUAUAGGUUGUACAGACAGGGCAGAGUAGGGAAUAAAGGGAGAGGAAGGUUGUUCUCUGUGUUAGGG
rnacentral:lncRNA from 1 species